rnacentral:misc_RNA from 1 species
CGUCGAAACCUAAACACAAGGUUCCUUUGAUCACGAGAAACCAACAGCCAGUUUUUACGACUUUGUCGUGAAAGUUGGGAGUAUCACCCCCGUUAAAGCUCUAUUUCMUGAGGUGUCUAUGUAUGACAUGAGCCGUUCGAGAGUGGCGGCUAUGAUUGUUCAUGCGAAGUUCCUAUCAUUGAUGGUUGAGCUUGAGACUUAAUAAGUAUUGCUAUAAUACUGCCUCGUAGUUUAAUAAUGGUGGUUAAGUACGAAACAUAUUACUUAUUGAAGUAUAUGGUGUACUGUACCCGAUUAUAUCGGGGAACCUUAAUGAUCACGCGUAGACGCCAUUAUAAAACACAAACAUUCAUUUUUACAGUUUGCAGAACUUAGUGUUCACAUUCAUUUGUGUCACAAAU